GAUGAACGCCGGCGGUGUGCCUAAUACAUGCAGGUCGAACGCUUCUUUCCUCCCGAGUGCUUGCACUCAAUUGGAAAGAGGAGUGGCGGACGGGUGAGUAACACGUGGGUAACCUACCCAUCAGAGGGGGAUAACACUUGGAAACAGGUGCUAAUACCGCAUAACAGUUUAUGCCGCAUGGCAUAAGAGUGAAAGGCGCUUUCGGGUGUCGCUGAUGGAUGGACCCGCGGUGCAUUAGCUAGUUGGUGAGGUAACGGCUCACCAAGGCCACGAUGCAUAGCGGACCUGAGAGGGCGACGGCCAACGACUGGGACUGAGACACGGCCCAG
rnacentral:rRNA from 1 species